UAUCCUGCAUCCUCAAGAUGUAUAGAAUUCUUUAGCAGUGGUCUCAGAUGAAACAUUAAAGAGGAUUGACUCAUCAAAUAGCAGAUAAAGAUUAGCCAUGCCAUCUUGUCCCUCUUAAUGAACUCUAUCUUCAAAUGCCAUGUUGUGCCCAUCUUUCACCAAUAUGGUUUGCAUCUUUGACUUCCAGAGUACAAAGUUGAUUUCAUUACAUCUUGGAAUUUC
rnacentral:lncRNA from 1 species